AAACUCCACCGCUCAAUCACUGUAGCCUUAAACCCUCACAAAGCCCUCGCCCGCCACACACACUUUGGCUUCACCACCGCAACGAAAAUGGCUUGGCGCUCAGCUGGAUCGCUGUCUCGUUCGCUCGUCUCCACUGCUAGGGUUUCUUUGCUUCGCUCGCCGCCUCCUCUUCCCCGCCUCCGUCCGCCGGCGCCCAAUAUGGCUGCUCCUCGUCUCCAAUCUCGCCGUCUCUCCUUUGCUGCUCCCAGGAACUUGGGAGAGUUGGGAUGCAUACAGUCUCUUCUGCCAGUGUGUAGAGUAAUGGCUUCAACAUCUCACUUGGCUGUCAACUUGCGGGCUUGUUGCGAGUUGUCUCAUGGUACCUUCCGCCGUACUUGUCAGGAUCGCUAGUAGUUUCUUUGGAGGAAUGGAAAAGACGGGUGAUGCGCAAGGGCUUCCAAUCAUCAAAAGGCAGGAGAAUGAUGCUUCAUUGUUCCUAAGCAGACUAGUAUCGGCAUAAUUAAGAGCGACAAAAUUUGGAGGAGAUUUUAUUCUGUAGGAUCUUUUGUUUUUUGAACUAAGAAUUGCAAUAAGAGCGUGCCAUUAUUCUAAGAAUAUUUUUCAAGAACCUUCGGAAUUCCAACUUCUGGAAUGACUUUUCAGAAUGAAGGAUUCACAGGCAUCUUUCACUUCAAAGUUGUACUUGCCUCUUUUUUUAAUUGGUAAUUAGAUUGUUAUUGUGCUGCACUUGUGCUGUCAAUGAUUAGUCAAUAUCAAUUCUCACUCUUGAUAGCUUUGAUACAUAAUGUGCUAGUGCUAAUAUUCCUUUUCAA